GGGGUGAAUCUUCUGGAAAAGCGUGACGUCAGCGAGGAGCCGCGCCUCAGGCCGUUGCAUUCCGGCGUCGUUUAGACUGGUAACAAGGCGGCUCCUGGUUGGAGGAACUGUCUGGACCCAGUGACCUGGAUUUUGUCCUGGAAAUCUGCCUGUCUUGAGAAGAAAACCCACAUCCUGAUGCUGUCGAGUUAGUGCGGAACAUGGGGACAGCAUCCUGCCUGCACACCUGUCCAUAGACUGUGAGGGGGGAAGCAUCUGGUCGUGCAGGUGCUGCAGCUCGUGGGUGGAGCUGAGCUCGUGGGUGGAGCUGAGCGCUGCUGUGAGUGGCUGGGGCUGUUAAGAUGUUUGUCCUUUUGUAACCUCUGUGUGCUUCCUCACUGAUGCAGUGUUUGAAAAGGCCGCUUUCAGUUCGC